UGCAAAUUAUUUUGGGAGGGCUCCAACAAAUUUCAGUUUUAUCUGUUAACUAAUUAUAUUAGGGUUUCAGACACAUGGAUUGCUAUUCUGAUUGUAUUGUUGUUUAUCGUAUCCUGCUGCAGAAAUAGUUGUGCAUUUGCUCUUUGCUGUGAAGACAUUGCACAAUGAAAUGCUAUUCUCAAUCCUGUCGUUUUGCCUUCUGUGCGUGUGGAGGGGGAGGGGCCUACUACUGCAAUGGAUGCGGCGAUACAAGGUUAGCACAUUCUCUAGGUUGAACUCAGAGUCUAUUUUCUAUGCUUGGAAACCAGGAAGGGAACAUACAAUGAAGGACAUAUUGCCAACUUUAAAAGGGGGAUGUGAACUCAGAAUCGCAGGCUAUACCACCAAUCUCAUGAAGGUAACGUAGAUCAGAGAGUACAACAGAAAAGGAUGGCUAUUAGAUGUGUCAUGGAAUCUAUAUCCAUUGCAAUGCACUCUAUAUUAUUUUCUUCAGUGUCUGCUGUUUUACAUAUGUUGGGUGACCUGGUAUUUUCUUCAGGAAGUAUGAAUAUAUUAGAACUGCUCUUAUUGUUUCUCAAGACGAGACACGUGCCACCGCUGUUCAACACCAUAAUCCAAGGGUGUUUGGUUGGAAGUGCCCAGCUAUUUUCAGUCAUGCUGGCAACAGAGGGAUGACUGAGGAGGGAGAGCAGGAGUGGGAGCAACGUCGCCGGCGGCGGCAUGGCUAGAUCCGAGGACUGGAGGCUCACGUGAACUGCAGAUUGGACGCUUUUACAUUCGCAGCAGAUGUUGCUCCCUAGGCAUUUCCAGCUCUCUGCUAUCAUUUAUGUAUUUCGUGCUAUCAAAACAGUUCAAAAAUUAAUACAUUUCUCUGUUGUCUA